GCGAAUUCGCCCUUCCAGAGUUUGAUCCUGGCUCAGGAUGACCGUUGGCGGUUUGCCUAACACAUGCAAGUCGAACGGAAUCUUCGGAUUUAGUGGCGGACGGGUGAGUAACACGUGAGAAUCUGGCUUCGGGAUGGGGAUAACAACUGGAAACGGUUGCUAAAACCCAAUGUGCCGAGAGGUGAAAUAUUUAUAGCCUGAAGAUGAGCUCGCGUCUGAUUAGCUAGAUGGUGGGGUAAAAGCCUACCAUGGCGACGAUCAUUAGCUGUUCUGAGAGGAAGAUCAGCCACACUGGGACUGAGACACGGCCCAGACUCCUACGGGAGGCAGCAGUGGGGAAUUUUCCGCAAUGGGCGAAAGCCUGACGGAGCAAUACCGCGUGCGGGAGGAAGGCCCUUGGGUCGUAAACCGCUUUUCUUAGGGAAGAAACCUGACGGUACCUAAGGAAAAAGCCUCGGCUAACUCCGUGCCAGCAGCCGCGGUAAUACGGAGGAGGCAAGCGUUAUCCGGAAUUAUUGGGCGUAAAGAGUCCGUAGGUGGUUUGACAAGUCUGCGGUCAAAGAGUGCAGCUCAACUGCAUAGAGGCCGUGGAAACUGUUGAACUAGAGUAUGGUAGGGGUAGGGGGAAUUCCCAGUGUAGCGGUGAAAUGCGUAGAGAUUGGGAAGAACACCGGUGGCGAAAGCGCCCUGCUGGGCCAUAHCUGACACUGAGGGACGAAAGCUAGGGGAGCGAAUGGGAUUAGAUACCCCAGUAGUCCUAGCCGUAAACGAUGGAAACUAGGCGUAGCUUGUAUCGACCCGAGCUGUGCCGAAGCUWACGCGUUAAGUUUCCCGCCUGGGGAGUACGCACGCAAGUGUGWAACUCAAAGGAAUUGACGGGGGCCCGCACAAGCGGUGGAGUAUGUGGUUUAAUUCGAUGCAACGCGAAGAACCUUACCAAGGCUUGACAUCCCGCGAAUCCCGGUGAAAGUCGGGAGUGCCUUAGGGAGCGCGGAGACAGGUGGUGCAUGGCUGUCGUCAGCUCGUGUCGUGAGAUGUUGGGUUAAGUCCCGCAACGAGCGCAACCCUCGUCCUUAGUUGCCAGCAUUAAGUUGGGCACUCUAGGGAGACUGCCGGUGACAAACCGGAGGAAGGUGAGGAUGACGUCAAGUCAGCAUGCCCCUUACGUCUUGGGCUACACACGUACUACAAUGGUUGGGACAAAGGGCAGCAAGCUCGCGAGAGUAAGCGAAUCUCAUCAAACCCAGCCUCAGUUCAGAUUGCAGGCUGCAACUCGCCUGCAUGAAGUAGGAAUCGCUAGUAAUCGCAGGUCAGCAUACUGCGGUGAAUCCGUUCCCGGGCCUUGUACACACCGCCCGUCACACCAUGGAAGCUGGCAACAUCCGAAGUCGUUACUCCAACUGUUCGCAGAGGAGGGCGCCGAAGGUGGGGCUAGUGACUGGGGUGAAGUCAUAACAAGGUAGCCGUA
rnacentral:rRNA from 1 species